rnacentral:rRNA from 1 species
CCCUCUGGGGUGCAGCAGGCGACAUGGCCUAAAAUGUCAUCCAUUGAAACGCAUGCCCGCGUGGGUAAAACCAUUCAACAUUGUUUGGAGCUUUUAAAUUAUCAACAAGAUUCAGAGCAAAAAGCCGCAGAAUUUAUUGCAGUUUAAUGUUGAAGAUAUUCAUCGUUUAAAUUUAACGUUAAAGACCAAGCCUACAAGUUUAACUUUUGGGCGUGCUUUAUAUGCAUUUGAAUAUGAGCAGCAACAUUAUUGGUUGAAAACACAAGCACCGAAUGUUAAUCCGUAUUAUGAAGCUGGAUUUUGAAAUGAAUUGGCGGGAGAGC